GUGCCGUGAUGUUAUCAUCAACACAUCAUUCUGAAGAAAAGUGUGUGAUGACUUCCUGUGACUGAGCACA